UACGGAGGGGGGGAGCGUUAUUCGGAAUUAUUGGGCGUAAAGGGCGCGUAGGCGGCCCGGUAAGUCAAAGGUGAAAUCCCUCGGCUCAACUGAGGAACUGCCUUUGAAACUGUCGGGCUUGAGGCCGGGAGGGGGUAGCGGAAUUCCCAGUGUAGCGGUGAAAUGCGUAGAUACUGGGAGGAACACCAGUGGCGAAGGCGGCUACCUGGACCGGUUCUGACGCUGAUGCGCGAAAGCGUGGGUAGCAAACAGG
rnacentral:rRNA from 1 species